rnacentral:lncRNA from 1 species
UUAUUAUUAAUUAUUUUUAUUCAAGUUUAUUCAACUGCUUCCCUUGACAGGAUGUACAUAAUUGAAGGGUCUUUGGAGGGAAAAAAGGCACAUUUCGCCUCCCCCCAACUGUGGGGUGCAGGACUGUGGGGCUGUGGGGCGGCCCCAGCCCCGAUGGUAUUUAGGAUACCGUAUUCCACCACGACAGUGCACUUGGCACGGCCCCUCGCAGAGAGGAAGCACUCUGCCGUCGGCAGUGGGACGGCAGGACCCUUGUGGGUCCUGGGGGGGGCGUCCUGGAGAGCCCUGAUGGGUCCUGUGGAUCUUGGGGAGCCCUGGUGUGUUCUGGUGAGUCCUGGAGGGUCCUGGGGUGUCCUACGGAGCCCUGGUGGGUCUUGGUGGGUCCUGGUGGGUCCAGAGGAAGAAGUAGGAAGCCCACAGGGUGAUAAGAACAGAACCGCAGCUUGCAGCCCCAGCCCAGAGCUUCUGCCUACAAGUGAGAGAUCUAGUUCAUUCCCCCAAACACCCCCCAUUACGGCAGAAGUUGACUUUUUAAGGCCCAAGCCCCCAAGGGUGAAGAGUGUAGAACAGGAGACAGGAGUGACAGCAAAUGGCCAAGAGCCUAGGAGUCCCCAGGGACAGCACCGUCUCGGCUUCCCGGGCCCCAGGCUUGCUUCCUGCCAUGUGUGUGAGGUCCAGCAGCGGAAGCAAGGAGGCCAGUGACCACAUCUCCGUCCUUUGUGGCCAGAGGUGGCUCAGGCCACCCGCGGGGACGUAGAGCCAGGCUCGCAUCCCGGCCAGUGCAGCCCUCUCUCUGAGGACACACUCGAGGGGGCGGCCAGACCGCUUCCUCCCGAGUCUCUGUGACCAGGUUGCUAAAAGUCAUGGCAGAGCUGGGCUCACGCGGCUCUCUCCCGACUCCAGAGAGAGGGGUGCUCGGGGGGUAGCCCUGAGGUCAUUUAUGGGGAGGACACAUUCCCCAGGGUGGGCACGAGGUCCCGCCAGACACACGUCCUUGGCGAAGCGGGGCGCUCAGAGCCUCCCCGCCUAAGGGAGGGGACUGCUCUUGCCUACUGCCCGUGCCCACGCCUGGCCCAGGGCUCAGCACACAGUAGGCGCUUGAGUGAGUUUCCUGGGGCGCUUAGACAACAGAAACGUAUUCUCUCACAGCCUGGAGGCCAGAAGUCCAAGACCGUGGCGUCGGCAGGGCUGCUUCCUCCUGGGGCCUCUGUCCCAGGCUGGCAGACGGCUGCCGUCUCCCCGCGUCCCCACACGGGGUCUUCCCUGUGUCGUGUCAACGUCCAAAUGCCCCCUCUGACAAGGACGCUGCUCAGAUGCGGGAUCAGGACCCACUCUAGCGACCUCAUCCUGACUUAGCGCUGUAAAGGCCCCUUCUCCAAGUACCGUCACUUCCUAAGAUUUUAGCCGUUAGGAUUUUCCACGUACGAUUUUUCCCAGGGGACACAGUGGGGCCUGUAGGAGCACUCGGGAGACGUCUGCCGAGUGGGAGACCACGGUAGUGAUGACAACCAGUCCCCCUCUAGCAGACGCUGGCUACACACGCGCCUGACCGCCAGGCUAAGCCCCUUGCCUACCUCACCGGUUGUCCUGGACGGAUGUCACCAACCCUCCCUCCAAAUGAGGAAACCAAAGCUCCGAGAGGAUCCAGAACUUACCAAAGGUCAAAUCCAGAAAAAUCCAGGCCUAUCUGACGCCAGUCCCAGGCUCUUAUCUACCAUGAUGGAAGGCUAACACUCCAGGACACUCCCAAAAAUAAUCCCCCCGCUGCUGGACCCACUUCCGCAGCCUAGCACGCUUCUGGGUCAUUUAUAUCCUCCAUGCCCCGUAACACAACCUUCUUGACAAUGGUGUGUGGUGGGCAUCUUUACUCCUUUUUUACAAAUGAGAUAAUUAGGGCCAGAGAGAUAAAAUCAGGUGACCAACUGCUUAAAAAAUAGAUGGAGGUGUUCCCGUCGUGGCUCAGUGGUUAACGAAUCUGACUAGAGACCAUGAGGUUGCAGGUUCGAUCCCUGGCCUUGCUCAGUGGGUUAAGGAUCUGGCAUUGCCGUGAGCUAUGGUGUAGGUCACAGACGCGGCUCGGAUCUGGUGUUGCUCCGGCUCUGGCGUAGGCCGGAGGCUAUAGCUCGGAUUCAACCCCUAGCCUGGGAACCUCCACAUGCCAUGGGAGGCAGCCCUAGAAAAAGGCAAGAAGACAAAAAAAAAAAAAAUAGAUGGAAGGAUAGAUGGGUGGAUGGAUGGAUGGAUGGAUGAGUGGGUGGGUGGAUGGAAGGAUAAUUGGAUUGAUAACUGGAUAGAUAGAUGGAUGGAUGGAUGGAUGAGUGGGUGGAUGGAUGGAUAAUUGGGUUGAUAACUGGAUAGAUGGAUUGUGGAUGGAUGGGUGGAUGGAUGGAUGGAUGCAUAGAUGGUCGGAUGAUAGCUAGAUGGCUGGAUAGGUGAAUGACGGAUGGGUGGAUACGUGCACCAUCGGGUCCAUGCACUAGGCCACAAAGAUGGCAGGGCAGGCCUACUGAGAUGAGGCUGAUGCUACCACUGACCAGCCUGCUAUUGUCCCUGGGUCAGUGCUCCUGGCUCAGCAGCAGGUCUUCUCAGACAGGGCAUCAUGGGCAGUGUUGCGAUGGUGACACAGCCAAAGCUCGAUCAUUUUGGUGAAACUUGCCAAUAUGCAGACGGGCACCACGCUGCAGUGUCAGCUCCCUGGCAGACAGCAGCUCUCACGCGGCCACGAGGGCGUCCAGCCCACAGGCAAACAAACGACAGCAAUAAGCCCUGUAUCUGCCCAGGAGGUGGGCGUGGCCACUUCCUACAGUUGAGUCACAGGUCAUUUUUGUAGAAGCAAAAGGCGUCUCUGCACCUGACUCGUCUGUUGAGUUGAAGGAGGCCUUCUGGAUGCUUCACACAGCGGAAAGGGUCCCAGCUGAGAUAAAUGUCCAUGAAACCGCGGGUUGUCAGUGUGAUGGUGGCAGGAACCAGAUGUCCCCCUCACGUCCCAGCCUCCAGAACCGGGCCUGGCCCACCACUUAUUUGCAGAGAAAACAAGCGAAGCAGCAGCCAGCUCCCUCCUCCACGCUCCCUGCCACCUGCCCACGUGAUCCUUUCUUGGGCGCUGCCACCGAGCGUGGCCGAGACUCUGCAGAGCGUGCACCCCAUGGUGGGCCUCCUUCAGUCCCAGGGUGACAGGGACAAUGAAGAGGAGGUCUUGCCGUCCAUCCGAGCGGUGCUCACGGCUGCCGAGGCCCCUGCGGGCGCUGCAUCUGAGAUCCGGCCUCUGGCCCCCAAGCGCGGGCUCAGGAGAAGCAGCCGGUUAGGAAUGUCGGGCUUGGCCGCUGAACAGGUGGGGUGGCCACUUGUUGGGGAUCUUGGCCGUGAUCUUGGCCACGCCAAUUGGGCCACAUUCCGGGUUCAAUAAGGAUUAGAAUAAAUGAAAGAGCACGUGACCGCAUCUGGCUUCAGACUCUUCCUGUACUUGCGCAGGUGACCAGGCUUCUCCAACUGGACCUUUCCUCCUGGCCUUUCACAGCUGUGGGAAGGGAAGGGAACCCCCUCCUCCAGGAGAACCCCCCCACCCACCCACAGCCCCUCCGUGUCGGUGGGGACAGCAGGGUGGCCCUCUCCAUGCACGCCUGGCCGCCACCCUCUUCCAACCAUGGCACGGACCACCAAAGACUGGGCAGAGCGUGGGGCUGGGGACAGGGGCAGGGACACAGGGGCGGGGGGCAGGGCAGGCUGCACGAAGCUCCGUUUCUCUAGAAACGUGGAACGUUCCCCGACCCCAGCGCUGACUCCCCACCUCCCAAAGGAGCCCCGCCAGACGCAGCGCGCACAGGAUCCCCGGGGAAUAGAGGCGUUAUUUGUGGCAUCUUGGACCGUCCCUUCACCAGCUUUCCCGAACUUGAACUAGGUGGGGACUUCCGAGAUCCCGGCUUUAAGGUCUGUCCCCUGCCUUUGCUCGCCGCUCCUCUCCGCCCUCAGCCCCGGCACAGGAGCCAGCACGUCACAGCCUGUGAAGGUAUGGAUGAAUGUCGCAGAAUUCACCACUGGAAUAUAAGACCUCAAGGGCAAAAACCGGGCAUUUUCCACCCCGAAUUCAUCACCGUUUGAUACAGUGCUUGAAGCUGGACCCGCCACAAGUGUUUAGAUUCUGAAUUGAAUCUAAAUGUAACUGACCCCCCACAUCAAGGAAGGCAGGAGACGUUACUCGCAACAGAACACAAGAAGGAAAAGCAUUUAGACAAAAUCUCGAGCGUCCCAGGCUAGGGAUGGAGAGGGCCGUCUGGCAGGGAGGCUUUCAUAAUUCAUAUCUCGAAAAGCCGGGCCC